rnacentral:sRNA from 1 species
GCUGGGCGUGGUGGCACACGCCUGUAAUCCCAGCUACUCGGGGGCUGAGGCAGGAGAAUUGCUUGAACCCAGGAGGUGUAGGUUGCAGUGAGCUGAGAUCACACCACUGCACUCCAGCCUGGGCGACAGAGCGAGACUCUGUCUCAA